rnacentral:tRNA from 1 species
AUAGCUAUAUAGAUCGGGAAAGCGUGCUGUUUUGCGGCCUUUCACGCCGGCAACACCGGUUCAAAUCCGGUUGGGGACGCCA